rnacentral:tRNA from 3 species
GUGGCAUUAGCUCAGAUGGAUAGAGCAGCGGCCUUCUAAGCCGUCGGUCGCGGGUUCGAAUCCUGCAUGCCUCGCCA